rnacentral:rRNA from 1 species
GACGAACGCUGGCGGCGUGCUUCAUACAUGCAAGUCGAACGAGAAUCUCUAGCUUGCUAGAGAGGAAAGUGGCGGACGGGUGAGUAAUAUGUAGGAAAUCUGCCCUAGAGUGGGGGACAACAGUUGGAAACGACUGCUAAUACCCCAUAUGAGCGUACCUGUGAUGGUAUUCUUGAAAACUCCGGUGCUCUGGGAUGAGCCUGCAUCUGAUUAGCUAGUUGGGGGUGUAAUGGACCACCAAGGCGACGAUCAGUAGCUGGUUUGAGAGGAUGAUCAGCCACAUUGGAACUGAGACACGGUCCAA